rnacentral:snRNA from 1 species
GCGCUCAUUUCGGCAGCACAUAUGCUAAAAUCGGAACGAUACAAAGAAGAUUAGCAUGGCCCCUGUGCAAGGAUGACAUGCAAAUUCAUGAAGCAUUCCAUAUUUCG